rnacentral:rRNA from 1 species
UAGGGAAUCUUCGGCAAUGGACGAAAGUCUGACCGAGCAACGCCGCGUGAGUGAAGAAGGUUUUCGGGAUCGUAAAACUCUGUUGGUAGAGAAGAACGUUGGUGAGAGUGGAAAGCUCAUCAAGUGACGGUAACUACCCAGAAAGGGACGGCUAACUACGUGCCA